GGGGAUUAUUGAACAUUGGGGCCAAGCUUGAUCCACCCAUGCGGGGUGGUGGAAGAAGGCCUUCGGGUGGAAAAGCCUUUUGGUGGGGAAAGAAAACAAGCCGCCAAUAACCGGGUGGUUCUAACGUUACCAAAAGAAUAAGAACCGCCAAACUCCGUGCCAGCAGCCGCGGUAAUACGAAGGGUGCAAGCGUUACUCGGAAUUACUGGGCGUAAAGCGUGCGUAGGUGGUGGUUUAAGUCCGUUGUGAAAGCCCUGGGCUCAACCUGGGAACUGCAGUGGAUACUGGAUCACUAGAGUGUGGCAGAGGGUAGUGGAAUUCCCGGUGUAGCAGUGAAAUGCGUAGAGAUCGGGAGGAACAUCAGUGGCGAAGGCGACUGCCUGGGCCAACACUGACACUGAGGCACGAAAGCGUGGGGAGCAAACA
rnacentral:rRNA from 1 species